AGUCAUUCAGAGGUUAUGAUUUUUGGGCUGCUGUUAUUGGAUAUCAUGUUCCAGUUCGGGACUCCAUUGGUCUGGAGCUUGUCAGUCUGUGGCGCGCCAGCGCUCGCGAAGCCGCUGCGCAGACAGAGCACGACACGCGAGUGGCCAGAGAGUGUCUGGAGUCUGUCUGAAACUGAUAAAAAUGCUGAUGGAGUUUAUCCAGAGUCUCGCUCAUACUCAUUAGAAAAACAAAGGGAGACAGAGCGGAAUUAUACACUGUAGUCUGAUCGUAGCUUGAAAAUUAGAUUCUAUUGUAGCGCAUUUCAAAGUUUUAUUCCAUGUUUUUCACCAGACAGGCAGUUCGUUAAUUCACAGGUAAGAUGAUCGUGGCGGGGCGCAAAUCUUUUUGUCUGAUACAGUCUGCCGUUGUUAUGGUGAUUGUGUUGUUCAUGCAUAUAACUGUGCGAUGUUGCUUAAUCAUAGCAAACAGGACGGCGCAUGUAAACCGCUGGUCGGCUGCAGGGUGCUCAUUUUAAUGUGAUUACAUGUUAGCGCAUGUCGUUCGGCGAGAUGAAGAAAGAGUUUAUCGCGAUCAUCUCUUCAGACAGAUGACGCACCUGUGCUCACGUGAGCACGGUUUCUCAUUAACCCCAUGAACUCGUGAUGCCAAAACACUGUGCUGCAGCAGGAGGAUUACAUUUCUGAAGUCUUCUGAUGACCUCUUGGAGCUGUCACAGAUGCAGCUACACUUAAAGGUGAUACCUGUGUUCUGCGGUUGUGCUGCCGUGCUGCCGGGUGGAUUUGUGGCCUUGUGCUUCAGUAUCUGAGGUACACAAUGUUCUGGAAGAUUCGGCCUCUUGAGUGACCCAUUGGCCCUGAAAUCUUGCUCGUAACUGGAAAAGCUUCGAAAUGCGAAACUUAUGA